rnacentral:sRNA from 1 species
ACAGUCGUGAGUCCCGAAAUGCAUGCAUAUAUAUAACCCUGGGAACGAGCAAUUUAAAGGAAAAUACACGACCGUACUUUAUACCUCUUUGGCACCAUUGAUAUAAUAAGAACAUUCUCAGCAUCGAUCUUAGCCUAUACGGGACAGCAGAGAGCAACGCCAUCCAUUGAUAUAUCUAUCCACCAAAAACUCGCAUUAGUUACUCCUUCGUAACACCCUUGCAACAGUCUUUAUUCCAAAAUUCUUUGCAGACCAUGGGGGUCUGUCACUCUCAACAUGCCCAUCCCCAUCCCCCUUCCCGUCAUUCACCGCCUAACGGACCUAUCCGUCACCGUCCAUUCGUUUUAGCUCCUAUCCCGCCACCACCUCGACGACACGCUACCAGCGGCGGAAGUACAGAUAGACAGAAUAAGUCUCCUCGUUCUCCUUUAUCAGUAAAAUUUAGGCGAUCGAAGGACGCUGCUACAAGGGGAGGAUCCGGUGGAAGAAGAUGAUAGAACCAAGUGGUAAAUGACCAUCAUUAUAGACUCGUGUAGCGUUGACCGUGUUCUUUUUUGUGUGUAAGUUUACUCUUCAAUCGUCGUUGAGCAUUAUAUUUGAUCUAAGAGUACGUAAGAAAGAAUAUUCAAUGCGACAGAUCUAUCCUUCUUAACCUUUUCAUCGGCCUUUUAUUCUCUUCCUACCCUCAUUAACAUGCCAGCGCUAUUCUAACCCUUUCGGCCUUCCUAUACCCCUAAACCAAAUUACUCUAUCCAUGCAUUUAACGUACUACUUCCACU